GUGCUUAACACAUGCAAGUCGAGUGCGCGUCCCGGUAGCAAUACUGGGAUGGCGCACGGCGCACGGGUGCGUAACACGUGGGCAAUCUGCCCUCCUAUGGGGAAUAACCCCGCGAAAGCGGGGCUAAUACCGCAUAACAUUCCGGGGACUUCGGUUCCUGGAUUCAAAGGCGUAAGCCGUCGGAGGUGGAGCCCGCGCCCGAUUAGCUAGUUGGUGAGGUAACGGCUCACCAAGGCAAUGAUCGGUAGCUGGUCUGAGAGGAUGGCCAGCCACACUGGAACUGAGACACGGUCCAG
rnacentral:rRNA from 1 species